rnacentral:rRNA from 1 species
CAUGGCUCAGGAUGAACGCUAGCGGCAGGCCUAACACAUGCAAGUCGAGGGAUAAGCUUUCGGGCUGAAACCGGCGUACGGGUGCGUAACGCGUAUACAAUCUGCCUUUCACAGGGGGAUAGCCCGAAGAAAUUUGGAUUAAUACCCCAUAGAAUAAUGGUGUGGCAUCAUAUUAUUAUUAAAGCUACGGUGGUGAAAGAUGAGUAUGCGUUCUAUUAGCUAGUUGGAGAGGUAACGGCUCCCCAAGGCAACGAUAGAUAGGGGUUCUGAGAGGGAUGUCCCCCACACUGGUACUGAGAUACGGACCAGACUCCUACGG